rnacentral:rRNA from 1 species
UACAGAGGAUGCAAGCGUUAUCCGGAAUGAUUGGGCGUAAAGCGUCUGUAGGUGGCUUUUUAAGUCCGCCGUCAAAUCCCAGGGCUCAACUCUGGACAGGCGGUGGAAACUACCAAGCUGGAGUACGGUAGGGGCAGAGGGAAUUUCCGGUGGAGCGGUGAAAUGCGUAGAGAUCGGAAAGAACACCGAAAGCGAAGGCAGUCUCCUGGCAAGUUUCUGACGCUCAGGUGCGAAAGCUAGGGGAGCGAACAGG